rnacentral:rRNA from 1 species
GAUGAACGCUGGCGGCGUGCCUAAUACAUGCAAGUCGAGCGAACGGACGAGAAGCUUGCUUCUCUGAUGUUAGCGGCGGACGGGUGAGUAACACGUGGAUAACCUACCUAUAAGACUGGGAUAACUUCGGGAAACCGGAGCUAAUACCGGAUGAUAUUUUGAACCGCAUGGUUCAAAAGUGAAAGACGGUCUUGCUGUCACUUAUAGAUGGAUCCGCGCUGCAUUAGCUAGUUGGUAAGGUAACGGCUUACCAAGGCAACGAUGCAUAGCCGACCUGAGAGGGUGAUCGGCCACACUGGAACUGAGACACGGUCCAGACUCCUACGGGAGGCAGCAGUAGGGAAUCUUCCGCAAUGGGCGAAAGCCUGACGGAGCAACGCCGCGUGAGUGAUGAAGGUCUUCGGAUCGUAAAACUCUGUUAUUAGGGAAGAACAUAUGUGUAAGUAACUGUGCACAUCUUGACGGUACCUAAUCAGAAAGCCACGGCUAACUACGUGCCAGCAGCCGCGGUAAUACGUAGGUGGCAAGCGUUAUCCGGAAUUAUUGGGCGUAAAGCGCGCGUAGGCGGUUUUUUAAGUCUGAUGUGAAAGCCCACGGCUCAACCGUGGAGGGUCAUUGGAAACUGGAAAACUUGAGUGCAGAAGAGGAAAGUGGAAUUCCAUGUGUAGCGGUGAAAUGCGCAGAGAUAUGGAGGAACACCAGUGGCGAAGGCGACUUUCUGGUCUGUAACUGACGCUGAUGUACGAAAGCGUGGGGAUCAAACAGGAUUAGAUACCCUGGUAGUCCACGCCGUAAACGAUGAGUGCUAAGUGUUAGGGGGUUUCCGCCCCUUAGUGCUGCAGCUAACGCAUUAAGCACUCCGCCUGGGGAGUACGACCGCAAGGUUGAAACUCAAAGGAAUUGACGGGGACCCGCACAAGCGGUGGAGCAUGUGGUUUAAUUCGAAGCAACGCGAAGAACCUUACCAAAUCUUGACAUCCUUUGACAACUCUAGAGAUAGAGCCUUCCCCUUCGGGGGACAAAGUGACAGGUGGUGCAUGGUUGUCGUCAGCUCGUGUCGUGAGAUGUUGGGUUAAGUCCCGCAACGAGCGCAACCCUUAAGCUUAGUUGCCAUCAUUAAGUUGGGCACUCUAAGUUGACUGCCGGUGACAAACCGGAGGAAGGUGGGGAUGACGUCAAAUCAUCAUGCCCCUUAUGAUUUGGGCUACACACGUGCUACAAUGGACAAUACAAAGGGCAGCGAAACCGCGAGGUCAGGCAAAUCCCAUAAAGUUGUUCUCAGUUCGGAUUGUAGUCUGCAACUCGACUACAUGAAGCUGGAAUCGCUAGUAAUCGUAGAUCAGCAUGCUACGGUGAAUACGUUCCCGGGUCU